CAGUCGCCGCGGGAAUACGAAGGCCCCGAGCGUUGUUCGGAAUCACUGGGCGUAAAGGGAGCGUAGGCGGCGUGGUAAGUCAGGGGUGAAAUCCCGGGGCUCAACCCCGGAACUGCCUUUGAUACUGGGAGUCUUGAGUUCGAGAGAGGUGAGUGGAAUUGCGAGUGUAGAGGUGAAAUUCGUAGAUAUUCGCAGGAACACCAGUGGCGAAGGCGGCUCACUGGCUCGAUACUGACGCUGAGGUGCGAAAGCGUGGGGAGCAAACAGGAUUAGAGACCCGCGUAGUCCCUGUCUCUUAUAC
rnacentral:rRNA from 1 species